rnacentral:rRNA from 1 species
UACGAAGGGGGCUAGCGUUGCUCGGAAUUACUGGGCGUAAAGGGUGCGUAGGCGGGUCUUUAAGUCAGGGGUGAAAUCCUGGAGCUCAACUCCAGAACUGCCUUUGAUACUGAAGAUCUUGAGUUCGGGAGAGGUGAGUGGAACUGCGAGUGUAGAGGUGAAAUUCGUAGAUAUUCGGAAGAACACCAGUGGCGAAGGCGGCUCACUGGCCCGGUACUGACGCUGAGGUGCGAAAGCGUGGGGAGCAAACAGG